GCGUUGAUAACUCAGUUGGGAGAGUGCCAGACUGAAGUCAACUUCAGCUUGAGGAAUCUGGAAGUCACCGGUUCAAUCCCGGUUCGACGCA
rfam:Pseudomassariella vexata strain CBS 129021 BCR38scaffold_14, whole genome shotgun sequence.